AGAGUUUGAUCCUGGCUCAGAACGAACGCUGGCGGCGGGCCUCAUACAUGCAAGUCGAGCGCGAAAGUCCGCAAGGAUGAGUAAAGCGGCGCACGGGUGAGUAACACGUGGAUAAUCUACCCUUUGGAUUGGAAUAACCUGUCGAAAGACGGGCUAAUGCCGAGUAAGCUCUCGGGAGCGUGAAGCUCUUGCGAGGAAAGAUGGCGCAAGCUAUCGCCGAUGGAUGAGUCUGCGUCCCAUUAGUUAGUUGGUGAGGUAACAGCUUACCAAGACGAUGAUGGGUACCUGGUCUGAGAGGAUGAUCAGGCACACUGGAACUGAAACACGGUCCAGACUCCUACGGGAGGCAGCAGUAGGGAAUAUUGCGCAAUGGACGAAAGUCUGACGCAGCCACGCCGCGUGAGUGAGGAAGGCCUUCGGGUUGUAAAGCUCUGUCAUCCGGGAAAAACGGCUAUCUGGGGAAAGUUCAGGUAGCGUGAUGGUACCGGAGGAGGAAGCACCGGCAAACUCUGUGCCAGCAGCCGCGGUAAUACAGAGGGUGCAAGCGUUGUUCGGAAUUACUGGGCGUAAAGCGUGCGUAGUCGGUAUUGAGAGUCACGGGUGAAAUCCCAGGGCUUAACCCUGGAACUGCCUGUGAGACCUCAGUACUAGAGUGUGAGAGGGGAUAGUGGAAUACCCAGUGUAGCGGUGAAAUGCGUAGAGAUUGGGUGGAACACCGGUGGCGAAGGCGGCUAUCUGGCUCACAACUGACGAUCAGGCACGAAAGCGUGGGGAGCAAACAGGAUUAGAUACCCUGGUAGUC
rnacentral:rRNA from 1 species